UGGGGAAUAUUGCACAAUGGACGGAAGUUUGAUGCAGCGACGCCGCGUGGAGGGUGUAGGCCUUCGGGUUGUGAACUCCUUUUUCUCGCGAAAAAGGCACAGUUUUGGCUGUGUUGAUGGUAGUGGGGGAAGAAGCGCCGGCUAACUACGUGCCAGCAGCCGCGGUAAUACGUAGGGCGCGAGCGUUGUCCGGAAUUAUUGGGCGUAAAGGGUACGUAGGCGGUUUAAUAAGUCCUAAUUAAAAGGCUAUGGCUCAACCAUAGUAUGGUUAGGAAACUGUUGAACUUGAGUAGAUGAGGGGAAAGUGGAAUUCCAUGUGUAGCGGUGAAAUGCGUAGAUAUAUGGAGGAACACCAAUGGCGAAGGCAACUUUCUGGAAUCAAACUGACGCUGAGGUACGAAGGCGUGGGGAGCAAACAGG
rnacentral:rRNA from 1 species